rnacentral:lncRNA from 1 species
UACUAAUGCCCGUUUUCACCAACAACCUCUUACCGUUUCCCUAUCUAAAAGCUACUUUUAAUAAGGACCCCUCCCAAUUUGACACCUACCUAAAUUCAUUUUCACCACACUUGUACAUGGAUCCCUUAAGUAAGUGACAGAUUACUAGUUCUACAAACGAUAAUGCAAAGUCGAUAUUUUAUCGAUAAAAUGAUUUUUCUCUACUUCUUAAGAAAUAAACGUCUAUCGAGUAUAUAUUGCUAAAGCCUAUAAGUUUAUUUUGGCAGAGAAGAGAAAACGAGGAUAAACCUUUCUUGCAGAAGAAAAAGACAAGCUAGUGAAAUUGCUGACGUCUCAUAGAGACACAAUAUUAAACAAAAAACGGAUGGGACCACGAACGAAGCCAAAAACAAAGCUUGGAUCCAGUUACAAAUAGUUUUAAUGCGACAGGAACCGUUUACAGUUUCAGGUGGUGCGAGAAAUUGGAAAGACGUGUAAAAACAUGCUGCGCCCAGCCCACCUCAAAUUGAAUUGGUGCAGGAGGAUGAUGAUAAUGUUUGGUACAUUAUAUGAGGACUAAUAUUAAAAUAUUUGUUUACUAUCUUUGUUUUAAUUUAUAUAUUUUAUUAUGUUCAAUAUUAGCCUACUUCUUACCUCCAGAGGGUAUCCCCUAUCACCUAGGAGAUAGGCUCCUCCAUAUUCACCAUUUUCGAAUCAUUGGUAUCUACUGCAGUUUUGGUAUUUAAGGCCAAUUCAAACCUGAGCGAUAUUCGCUGCCGCUGUGGGUAGAGGUAGAUACC